rnacentral:rRNA from 1 species
GUCUAUGGUCAUGCCACCCUGAACACGCCCUAUCGCAUCUGAUUUUUGAAGCUAAGCAGGGUUCAGCUUGGUUAGUACUUAGAUGGAGAUGAAGAACAAAUUCUAGUGCUUUAUAUC